AUUGAACGCUGGCGGCAUGCCUUACACAUGCAAGUCGAACGGCAGCACGGGGGCAACCCUGGUGGCGAGUGGCGAACGGGUGAGUAAUACAUCGGAACGUGCCCAGUAGUGGGGGAUAGCCCGGCGAAAGCCGGAUUAAUACCGCAUGCGACCUACGGGUGAAAGCGGGGGAUCGCAAGACCUCGCGCUGUUGGAGCGGCCGAUGUCAGAUUAGGUUGUUGGUGGGGUAAAGGCCACCAAGCCGACGAUCUGUAGCUGGUCUGAGAGGACGACCAGCCACACUGGGACUGAGACACGGCCCAGACUCCUACGGGAGGCAGCAGUGGGGAAUUUUGGACAAUGGGGGCAACCCUGAUCCAGCCAUGCCGCGUGCGGGAAGAAGGCCUGG
rnacentral:rRNA from 1 species